GAUGAACGCUGGCGGAAUGCUUUACACAUGCAAGUCGAACGGUAGAGGGGGCAACCCCUCGAGAGUGGCGAACGGGUGAGUAAUAUAUCGGAACGUGCCCAGUCGUGGGGGAUAACGUAGCGAAAGUUACGCUAAUACCGCAUACGAUCUAAGGAUGAAAGCGGGGGAUCGCAAGACCUCGCGCGAUUGGAGCGGCCGAUAUCAGAUUAGGUAGUUGGUGGGGUAAAGGCUCACCAAGCCAACGAUCUGUAGCUGGUCUGAGAGGACGACCAGCCACACUGGAACUGAGCCACGGUCCAGACUCCUACGGGAGGCAGCAGUGGGGAAUUUUGGACAAUGGACGCAAGUCUGAUCCAGCCAUUCCGCGUGCAGGAUGAAGGCCCUCGGGUUGUAAACUGCUUUUGUACGGAACGAAAAGGUCUCUCUUAAUACGGGGGGCUCAUGACGGUACCGUAAGAAUAAGCACCGGCUAACUACGAGCCAGCCGCCGCCGUAA
rnacentral:rRNA from 1 species